rnacentral:rRNA from 1 species
CAGUAGCCACGGGAAUACAGAGGGUGCGAGCGUUAAUCGGAUUUACUGGGCGUAAAGCGUGCGUAGGCGGCUUUUUAAGUCGGAUGUGAAAUCCCUGAGCUUAACUUAGGAAUUGCAUUCGAUACUGGAAAGCUAGAGUAUGGGAGAGGAUGGUAGAAUUCCAGGUGUAGCGGUGAAAUGCGUAGAGAUCUGGAGGAAUACCGAUGGCGAAGGCAGCCAUCUGGCCUAAUACUGACGCUGAGGUACGAAAGCAUGGGGAGCAAACAGGAUUAGAUACCCGAGUAGUCCCUGUCUCUUAUAC